rnacentral:rRNA from 1 species
AUAUUGGUCAAUGGGCGAGAGCCUGAACCAGCCAAGUAGCGUGCAGGAUGACGGCCCUAUGGGUUGUAAACUGCUUUUAUAAGGGAAUAAAGUGGGUCUCGUGAGACUUUUUGCAUGUACCUUAUGAAUAAGGACCGGCUAAUUCCGUGCCAGCAGCCGCGGUAAUACGGAAGGUCCGGGCGUUAUCCGGAUUUAUUGGGUUUAAAGGGAGCGUAGGCCGGAGAUUAAGCGUGUUGUGAAAUGUAGUGGCUCAACCUCUGCACUGCAGCGCGAACUGGUCUUCUUGAGUACGCACAACGUGGGCGGAAUUCGUGGUGUAGCGGUGAAAUGCUUAGAUAUCACGAAGAACUCCGAUUGCGAAGGCAGCUCACGGGAGCGCAACUGACGCUGAAGCUCGAAAGUGCGGGUAUCGAACAGGAUUAGAUACCCUGGUAGUCCGCACGGUAAACGAUGGAUGCCCGCUGUUGGCCUGAAUAGGUCAGCGGCCAAGCGAAAGCAUUAAGCAUCCCACCUGGGGAGUACGCCGGCAACGGUGAAACUCAAAGGAAUUGACGGGGGCCCGCACAAGCGGAGGAACAUGUGGUUUAAUUCGAUGAUACGCGAGGAACCUUACCCGGGCUUGAAUUGCAGAGGAAGGAUUUGGAGACAAUGACGCCCUUCGGGGUCUCUGUGAAGGUGCUGCAUGGUUGUCGUCAGCUCGUGCCGUGAGGUGUCGGCUUAAGUGCCAUAACGAGCGCAACCCCUCUCCUCAGUUGCCAUCAGGUCAAGCUGGGCACUCUGGGGACACUGCCACCGUAAGGUGUGAGGAAGGUGGGGAUGACGUCAAAUCAGCACGGCCCUUACGUCCGGGGCUACACACGUGUUACAAUGGCAGGUACAGAGAGACGGUCGUUCGCAAGUACGAUCAAAUCCUUAAAGCCUGUCUCAGUUCGGACUGGGGUCUGCAACCCGACCCCACGAAGCUGGAUUCGCUAGUAAUCGCGCAUCAGCCAUGGCGCGGUGAAUACGUUCCCGGGCCUUGUACACACCGCCCGUCAAGCCAUGAAAGCCGGGGGCGCCUGAAGUCCGUGACCGUAAGGAGCGGCCUAGGGCGAAACUGGUAAUUGGGGCUAAGUCGUAACAAGGUAGCCGUACC